rnacentral:rRNA from 1 species
UACAGAGGUCUCGAGCGUUGUUCGGAUUCAUUGGGCGUAAAGGGUGCGUAGGUGGCGUGGUAAGUCUGGUGUGAAAUCCCGGGGCUCAACCCCGGAACUGCACUGGAUACUGCCAUGCUUGAGUACUGGAGAGGAGAUUGGAAUUUACGGUGUAGCAGUGAAAUGCGUAGAUAUCGUAAGGAAGACCAGUGGCGAAGGCGAAUCUCUGGACAGUUACUGACACUGAGGCACGAAGGCCCAGGGGAGCAAAACGGG